ACUUAAGUAGUUUAAAUUUAGAAGAAUAUUGAUUUGUGGUAUCAAGGAUGUAUAUUAUAAUACCUUGGGUU
rnacentral:tRNA from 1 species